UUAAGGUGCAUCUAGUGCAGUUAGUGAAGUAGCUUAGAAUCUACUGCCCUAAAUGCUCCUUCUGGCACGAGGUGCAUCAUGUUCGUCUCGCAGGUGCACGCAACAGCCUGGAGCUAGGCCCUGGCAUGGCCAACCCUCUUUCCAAGGGCUCUUUGCUCAAGGCAGAGAGCUGGUUUUUAUUUUUGUUUUGUUUUUUCCUUUUUUUUGUCCUAGCAGUAUCAAAGUGCUCAUAGUGCAGGUAGCUUUUGUAUUGGAUCUACUGUAAUGUGGGCACUUACAGUACUGCCAGAUAAAAUGCAUCGUUGGCUGGUGGCUGUGUCUUGGAAGAAAGCAGUGCUGCUUACAGUCAGUUUUGCAGGUUUGCAUCCCAGCUUAUAUCCAUUGCUGUGCAAAUCCAUGCAAAACUGACUGUGGUGGUGGUGAAUCCGUUGUGGACGAUGAGUCCCUGAGCAUACCCCCCCCCCCAAACAACAAACCUGAAGAUGACUGAAGGCUUUUGCACUGGUUUCUCCAUGGGUGGGGAUUUGUUGCAUUACUUGUAGCUAUGUUUAGAGUAUUGCACUUGUCCCGGCCUGUGGAGGAAAGGAGGACUUGUCGUCAGGUCUCUCUUAAAGUUGCCCGGGUGGUUAUGCUUUGUUUUGCUGUUGUCGGGUGGAUCACGAUGCAAUUUUGAUUAGUUUAGAAGGAGAAAAAUUGCACGGUAUCCAUCUGUAAACCGCAGGACCUUCAUCGCUGACAACGUAGCUUUUGUCAGUACUUGGAAGGGCACGAAAACGGUUGCAAGUGCGCAGAGUGGCCGGGGUCUUGUGGGAGACCUUGGGAAGCAUCGUUUUACCGGGGGUAUUUAUUUCAGAAACCUUGAAGGUGGAUUCUCUCCUAGGAAUCCAUGUGGUAGAGACGGUUCAGGCCGAAACUUUUUGUAGGAGGUGAAAUCUCUCUUGAUGCUGAAAUGUAAAUGGCUGCGUUGUGGACGUGUCAAUAAAGUUGAGUAAAACACAUUUUUGUCCUUUGCAAAUGACCCAGUGGAAGUGCUGUUGCAUCGGGUAGCAGCAAAAAUAAGACUAGUUCUCUGCAGCUUUCCCCUUUGAAUUUGAUGCCUCGCUCUUUGGUUGAAGAGCUGCCAGAGGAAGGGGAGAGGCAGAUUCUGGUACAUGGACUUAGAGCAGCGGCUCUCAACCUUGUUGAUUCGAGGUGCCCCUCAAAAUGCCAACUUUUAGCUUGCUUUCAUUUCUUGACUAUAGAAAAAUAACAGAACUACGUUUCUGUUGCAACAAACGCGGCAAGACCUGCACCGGGUCAGGCUGUUCCGACAAACCCAGAGGUGAUAGAAAUCCAGUGUAUCUUGUGGAGAGUGCGCUGCUAACACCACUAAUAUUUGCAAAUGGUGCAUAGGUGUCCACACACUGUAACACCCCUAAUAUGUGACCCCCUAUAAAAGGAUCUUGAGAUGCCCUGGCACCUUGGUUGAGAAUCACAGUCUUGGAUACUGCUGCCAAAGUCCCAAGCGGGGAGAAGGGUGCUUGUGAUCUCCUUUGUGGGAGCAGAACAGGGGGUGAGGGUUCCCGGGGCAGCUCCCUCCAGGAUAUAAUCUCCAGGCAUGUCCUCCACACGGUAGCCCAACUUCCCUAGGAGCUCGGGGUGGUUUGCAUGCAGACUGGCCUGCUGGGUGCUUUUCUGGGAUGCUUGGGCUUGAAAACCCUCCGGGUCCAAGGAAGGGAUGUACCUUGGCUCACCCACAGGCUGGGGAUGUGCUUUUGCUGCAAAGCUAUAAUGUAGGGAGCAGCAGGGGGGUACCACCCUUUCCAGCUUUGUUUCAAUGGCAGGCACCGCUGUAUUUCGAGGGUGCUUCAUCCUGAAGCAUGUCUACCAUACUCAGCACCUCUGCUUGCUAAGCCCUCUCAAAAUGGAGGGGCUUGCACAGAUGUGCUGUAAUGGCCUUUUCAGGCCUGUGCAGGGAUCUUAAGGUCAAAAGGGGCGGUGCGGGAGCCAUUUAAAUGCCUGGGGGAAGCUGAGCAGCUUUUAGGAUCCCGGUUUUCUUUGUGCACAGAAGUUUCACCCAGAACCUUUUAAGAUCUGGCCCCUCUUUCUAGAAGGACGGGUUUCCAGUUGAAUGCCCACAAAUUUGAGGGGUGCCUCCAAAUCCAUUGUUUAGUCCAGGCCUGAAAGUGCCUGAUGGCCCAGCCUGUUCAGAACAAGGAAGCAGAAGUGGGGAGAGAGAUUUAUAAGAUCUGUGAAAUGGCUUGCUUAAAUUUGAGCAUGGCUACCACAGCUUUAAUACAUGGUGACUGCGUCGGCCAGAGAAAUCCGGACUUUGCAGCCCCUCAUCUUGGAUUUGGCUUUUUAAUCUUCCUUGCUAUAAAUCAAAGCAGGGUACUUCUGAGCUCUCAAUCUGCCGCACAGAUACCGGGGCAAAUGUAUUCCUCGCUAUCUUCAAAACGUGCACGCUCAAUUUUUUUCUAGUGUCAACAAGUGAAGUGACCAUAUAAGUUUACUAAUCGUGACUUUUUUGGCAGUGUGGACAGAUUUGCAAAUCUUUAGCUCCUCUCAAGAUGCUUCCUUCUCUGGUUUGUUGAACUGAUAGCUGUGGGGAUGUAUUUGUACUGCAAAGGGAGGCUAGCUAACAUGCUGACAUGUCCUCAGCCUGCUGCUGCACAGGAGACACCAAUCUUUUGCUAACACUAUUAAUAAACUUAAUGAGAGAUUUGGUGCAACUAGCACUUGCAGGUGCAGCAGCCCUGCCACGAAACAGAAUGGCUGUCCCAUGUAGUUGCAGCAAGACUACAUGCGGCUCUUGUCAGUGAGUUCAAAAUACCCCUUGCAAAUAAAGAAUUUUUUUGCAAAAAUCUAGUUGGUCUAAGAAAAGAAAUCACCUCUACCACGAGUCCUGAUUCCUGCAGUCCCAGUGCACUGUGUCCUGGUGCUUGCAAAGAAGUUGGGCCUCCAGCUGUGCGUGGCUUUUGAGUAUCCUGCUCUGCCAGUAAAAAGCAGCCCAUCUCAUCUGGGUGACUUGCAGCUUGAAAUACUGGUCCAGCAAAUUGCUGCUGAAGCGAUUGAUGUGCGUAUGGUAACAGCUAUCUGUUUACGUUGUAGGUGUCUGACUUCCUGAUACAUAACCACCGAAUGGGUUCCAAAUGGCAAGCCUGCAGUUUAGAUGCAAUCACUGACCAUUUCCAGAAGUCGAAAAGUGUGCACUGACUUUGAGCCAUACUAACAGCGCAGCGUGCAGCGUGCUUUGCUGUCUGCCCAGGUCUUUACAAGCGGUCCUUACUUCUAUGAAAAUCAUUGGAGGGCUAGACGUUGUGCUUAAUCUGAUGUUGCCUCAGCAGGACAAAAUGGAGUUAAAUGAUAUCAGUAACGAUAUCUGAAGUCUACUAAUUUGUGUAGAGCAGCAUCCAGUAGCUUUUGAUGCUCUUCUGUGCUCAGUGAAGUUGACUUGUGGGUCAUGGGGUUUUUAUGAAGGCAGCCAAACUUGUACAGAAUAAACUUCUUGUAAACAUCUUUUAAAAUUGGAAAUGGAAACCAAGAGGUCUGGAUCCUAUCCAAGCUACUGUCUGAACAUCAAGAAUUCAGUUCUUAUAUUGCAAGCAAGAAACCUAAAGUUGAAUAAUUUGUUUCCCAAGCCAGGCUGUGCCAAAAAGCUGGUGUCUCUGAUAGACAGGGAAGUUGACCUUGUCCUUGAAAGCUUGUGUAAACACAAGUUGUGUCACUUCGGGGAUACGGUUAAAUAGCUGUAGAGCUGCCUCCCCACUCUUCUGUAUGGACGGGUUUACUGGGCUGAAGGUACUUUAAACUGGUGCCGUAAUGGGAAGGUGCUUCAUGCUGGUCCGAAUGCAUCGGCGCUAGGGGUUACACCCGUGAAACAUGGGCUUUAAACAAAUACAAACUUCACCCAAAAUGGUUAUGUUUGUAUGAAAAAACUAGCCGCCCUUCAAUUAAAGUGGCCAAGCUUAAAUGCUCAGCGCUGCUCCAGCUCUCCACGUUACGGAGGGCAAGUUGUUUAAUCUCUGUGCCGCUUUCAGGCCUGCAAUGUGUGGAUCAUGCUGCUUCCCUGCCUCCUCAGGGCUUUGCGUGCAUGGUUUCGUGGGUGGGUGCGAAGUGUAGAGAUGCCAGCCUGGAGCGCUGGGGCAAGGAGAAAUGCUUAGACCUAGCACUGUAGUGUCGGUACAGUGGAAGUAGAAGGAAUCCGUCAUUACCGAGCAUUCAGUGUACAUUGCGCAUGUCUGUGUACGAAGCUGUUGAGCAGAAAUAUCUCACCUGCGCAAUUCUUCAUUAGUAAUGUAUAUGCAUCCUUGGCUGCCCUCUUUAAUGAGGAGCUGUGGGCUGUUUUGAAAGAUGUCUCUUUUGUUUUUGUCUUUGGGAAGGAAGUCAGGUGCCCAGAAACUUCACUAGACGUUUUAUAAAUUAGCCUUUACUUCUCUGCAAGGAUUUAUUUUGGGCAGCUUCUGCACAUGAACAGCAAGCCUGACAGUAGGGAGGCCUCAACAUUCACCGUCCGUUCUUUACGGUGAUACCGCACCACGCUUUUUUUGCCACGAUACAUGAAUAGUUAUUUCCCAAGCCUAGGUUACACUUCAUCUGUCAAGUCCAGGCACAGAGUACUUGACUUGGUUCAAGAGAAAGGUUGUUAAUAUUUCUGAACCACACUUUAAAUAUCUAUUGCCAUACUAUUACUGCUUUUAAAUAUGAUUUUGGCUUGAUUACUUGGUUAACCUUGGCUAAGCUUUUAUUUUUUCCAACGGAAACUUCUUUAAGAAUUGAAGCCUAUUAAUUGGUCGUAGUUCACCUCGCGUCGUUCCCUCAUUUGCCUUGUCCUAAGUAAUUAUGGUCUGCCUGUAAUAACGGGCUCCGACUUCCAGAACGGCGAUUGAAAUCACAACUUAGUUGCUUGACGUAAGGGUCUCAUAUCUCUGUCCUGGUUGCUGAAUCGCAUGUUGCCCAGAUCUGUUUCUCAUAGCUUUUAAAACCUAUUUGUUCAGGAAACAACUAUGCAUUAUAUGUCCAUGCAUUCCUGUCUCGCUUGUGCUAUGUUCCUUCAAAGUGGCACAAGGGCUGUCAAUUUGAAAUCGCAAUAAUGUCUGCAGGACUUUUGUCGUUCUCUUGCUUCCUUACGUUACCUGUUUCUUUUCUCUCUCAUUUCAUCUCUGUUCUGACUAGUUGCUGGCUAGUUUGGGCAUUUCUCCCAAUGGAGGCCUUUGCGUAUAAUAAACUCUUAUUGCCUUUGCAAGGGAAGUGCUAGUGUGUUGCAAAAUGUAGGGAAUUACUACCUUAAAUCACAGGAUGAUGAUGAUUUCCCAGCAGUGACACAAAGGUUAGUCACUAAAGAAAUGUGUUUUUAUAUGCAUCUUUAAAACAAGCGUGACACAGGAAAUUGCAGUUAUAUUCAUCUAAUACAGAGGGGCAAUAGAGUGAUUUCUUUGUAAUUGAAAUGCUGAUUGGCAUCAAAUGGGGCCUUGGCUCCAAAACAGCAUAAUGAUGGGAAUCCCUGUUGGCGAGGACAAGGAAUCUAACAACCCAGUUGAGAUUCUGAAGCAGUGGCAGCUAUUUUGGAAAAACAAUUAUGCAACUUUAAAUAUAUAUUUAUACUGUAACAAGUCUGUUGCCAUGUCUGGGACUCUCAGGUGUUACUCUGGUACUGUGACUGGAGAAGCAGUGAUGGUAAAUUUAUCAUUGCAAAGAAGCAGGGCUCCUUACAUGCGAACCAAAGGAAAAAUCUUGUAAAGGGUGUCUGAUGCGGCGGAGGGUUUUGGAUCUCCCUUGGUAGAGGGAAGUCAUAUGCAUGCAUCAGUUCACAGAGUAAAAAAGGACAAAGUUUUACCAGUAGUGGUGUGUCUGGGGUGGUUUAGGGAAUAUAACUACACUCUUCUCUCAGUGAUAAUUUUCAUCUGCAUAAUGGGGUUAAACAAAAUCAUUUUUUCGCUUUUGAAUAGAAACUUCAUACUGGGUUGGACCAAGGGUCCAUCUAGUCGCUGUCUUCACAGCCGUGGCAAGUAGGAGAUGCUGGAAGGACAGGGCAUGUUUAAAGUGAUCCAUCCCUUGUAAUCCCUUCCCUGGGAGGCAUGUCGGAGGGCUUGACUGGGUCUGCUUUCCACGCCCCCCCAGACUGGAGGAAAGUCUUUUUGGGUUUUUUUUUAUGCUCAAAAGUUUGUUUAGGGUCUCUCCCAACAAUAGUUAUGAUAUCACACAGUUUUCUUGAAGCAGUACAGAAGAUUGUCAUCUGUUUAUUUUGGUGUUUUUAUUAGUGCAAGUCUGUUGUGGACUUUAUCUUCUCAUUUAUCUGUGGAAGCUUUCCUUCAGCGGCAGACCUGAUCUGGGUUUCAGUCUGCCCGGGAUCUGAGGAGGCUGGGGGACCUCUAAGCUUUGCUCCAGACGGCUUUCCUGGCUCUUACUACUGGUCUAAUAUUGCAUUGGGUAUAAUUAAGGCAGAGCUGGCUGGAGGGUGUGUGUGUGUGUGUGUGUGUGUGUGUGUGUGUGUGUGUGUGUGUGUUUAAAUAGAAGGGCAAUUUUGACUUGUUGCAAUAAUUUUCAUGAAUCUUUGUCUUUUGGAACUUCUUGACUGGCAAUUUGUAUGGAAUGAAAACGUUCUCAAUUCAUUUUGAUUGGGAAGGAGAAGAGAACAAAGGUGGGGAAACGGAAACGAUGCAGAAGACCGUCGUCGUAGUUCUGUUCUAGGUUGAAUUUGGGGGUGGGGGGAAGACGUAUGUGAGUGGCUUGUUCUGGUUUUAGUUCUUUUCAAAAGAGAUGCAACUUUUUGGGAGAAAUGAGUGACUCAUAGACAAGGGGGGUUGAAGGGACCUCAGGAGGUCACAUCCAGUCCAACCCCCUGCUCCAAGCAGGGCCAACCCCAACUCCAUCAUCCCAGCCAAGGCUUUGUCUACCUGGGUCUUCAACGCCUCCAAGGAUGGAGACUGCACCGCCUCCCUGGGUAACCUGCUCCAGUGCUUCACCACCCUCCUAGGGAGAGAGCUUUUCCUAAUAUCCAACCUCAACUUCCCUUGCUGCAGCUUGAGCCCAUUGCUCCUUGUCCUGUUAUCUGCCCCCACUGAGACCAGCCCAGCUCCAUCCUCUUUGCAGCCUCCCUUGAAAGGCUUGCUAAUCAAGUCCCUUCUCAGUCUUUUCUCUAGAAUAAAUCAGCCCAGUGCCCUCAGCUUCUCACAAGUCCUGUGCCCCAGCCCCCUAAUCCAAAUCUCAAUUUCUAUUUUGUUCAUAUUUUUACAGGUGUGGGGGGGUCCAUUUGACCAGCCCUAGAAGAUAGGACUGCUGUAAUUAAAUUGCAUCCCUCGUUCUGAAAAUAAUCCGAACGGGGUGGUUUAAAAGUGUGCUAGGUUUUUUUUUGUUUUUUCUUUUGGUUUCGUAUCAGUGGGAGCGUGUGAAAAGGUAACUCUAUAAAUAAUCUUUCUUUACAAGAGAUUACAUCUUCCUUAAACUCCUUGAUGAUUCAUAUCCUGGAAGUAGUUUUGUUUCUCAUCGAAUGUACAAUAAACUGCUGAAUUUGGAACACUUUUACAUUGGGGGAGGGGGGGAGUUGAGACUUUUUAUUUUUUUAACAUUCAGCUCAAAAAUAGCAUGAAAUCUCAGCAAGUACUUCACCUUCACUACAAGUUUUUGCCUUGUUUGAACAAAGUUAAUUUAAAACCAGUGAAAUUAGGAAUGGUAUAAGGAGACGAUGGCAGCUCUUUUUGUGUAACAGGGCAUCGUCGUGCCACACUCCAGCUGUGCCUAUGGAGAUUAAACCGUUAAUAUUUUGUAAAUUGCUGUGUAUGAGAUGAAGUAGAUUAAUACUUUGAGAUCAUUUCAUUUGUUUGUCAGAUUUCUUACAUUAUGAAGGAGUCUGGAAAAACUUUAAAUCUUCCUACGUGUGGUGAUGGUGGCGGGGGGGUAGUACUUGAUAAAAUCCCGACUUUUUGGUGAUUGUGGUGGGCGAGACUUCCAGUUGCAGGGUACUGUGAUGGCAGAGGGAAUCGGAUGUCUUCCCCAAGGAAGAAAUCCUCUUCAAAGCAUCAGCUGGCGGUCUCUAGCCUGGACUCUCUCUCCUGUCACUGGCAGAGGGCAGUAGCAGAUGCUUUGGAAAAACGAGAGAACCUGCAAUUAUAGGAUAACUUGUCUCUAGAAAACAUUUCCUCCUAACUUCAAACAGAAGCUGCCUUUAAUUCUGCUGCUGAGGGUUUUAUAUCAAUUGAAACUUAUUUUUGUGUGUGUUACAUAUUCUAAACCCUGAAUUAGUGAAUAAAUGUCUGGUUGUUAAGCAUGAAA